rnacentral:rRNA from 1 species
UACAGAGGUCCCCGAGCGUUUGUUCGGAUUCAUUGGGCGUAAAGGGUGCGUAGGCGGCUUUCUAAGUCCGGUGUGAAAUCCUGGGGCUCAACCCUGGAACUGCAUUGGAUACUGGGAGGCUAGAGUACUGGAGAGGAAACUGGAAUUUACGGUGUAGCAGUGAAAUGCGUAGACGAUCGUAAGGAAGACCAGUGGCGAAGGCGAGUUUCUGG